UUCCUGUAGUGUCUAAUUGGGUGGUGAAGACUGGAGAUGAGAAGGGUAUUUGGUUUUCUUGAUUGUCUGCUAUUCUGUUUUUCUGGAUUUCUUCCAGAGGAGGUGUUUCUGCAACACUUGAGCCUGAAGCAAUCAAAAGGCAAAAACAAGUUUUAUUCAGAAAAGGUGACUGCUUCAUUAUUGAGAUGAAGGUAAUUAUCUCCAUUUUCCUAUUCAAAUUCAAGAUAGGACAGAGAAUAUCACAAUAUCAUGUAAAGUAGAUGAACAAACAGCAUCAUAUAAAUAUGCUAAGAAAUUGGAAUUCCUGAAAGAAAGAAAAUUAAUCACCUGAGGUGAAGAAAAAAAAGUAGAGGAAGAUGGUGAAAUAUCGAGCAACAUGAGAACCCAUGUCUCUAAAAUUCUAUUUGUUUUUGAACUUUCCUUGCUUGUCAAGAACAAUGACAGAGAAGCUAAGAGAAGCACCAAUGGUGUUAAUGCAAAGAAGAGUUUAAAUAUCAUUCUUGCAUAAGUUAUAUAAAUAAAACAUGAAGAAUCAAAGCUUCCUUGGAUCAUAGAGAGAUGGAAUAUAAGAAAACUUGAGAAAUGAGGAAUUGGGUAGCUAAAUUUUGCAAGCAAGACAAGGUGCAAAGGAAGGUGGCAAAAAAUAAAAAGUGCAUGAGAUGGAAAAGGCAAAAGAUUAAUAUGUUGGAGUUCUAAAUCUGAUGUUUGAGAUGCUAUGCUGAUAGUUUAAUAACAUAAGGUAAUGUUCUGGCCUUUCUUUUUUUCCCUUUGCGGUUCCCUUUCUACUGUUUAUGGGACAAAAUCAAAAAGUUAAAGGUGGCUACCUAGUUUGUAUAAUUCAGCAGUUAAUUCUUUAAAUUCAAUCUGCUAAAAUUAAAUUCGAUUC